AGGGACAAACCUCAGUCGCAGAACAUCUGCUUGGCAAGCAAAUGUCCCAGGUUCAAUCCCUGGUGUCUCCA